rnacentral:rRNA from 1 species
GACGAACGCUCCCUUGUGUGCCUAAUACAUGCAAGUAGAACGCUGAAGAGAGGAGCUUGCUCUUCUUGGAUGAGUUGCGAACGGGUGAGUAACGCGUAGGUAACCUGCCUUGUAGCGGGGGAUAACUAUUGGAAACGAUAGCUAAUACCGCAUAACAAUGGAUGACACAUGUCAUUUAUUUGAAAAGGGCAAUUGCUCCACUACAAGAUGGACCUGCGUUGUAUUAGCUAGUAGGUGAGGUAACGGCUCACCUAGGCGACGAUACAUAGCCGACCUGAGAGGGUGAUCGGCCACACUGGGACUGAGACACGGUCCAGACUCCUACGGGAGGCAGCAGUAGGGAAUCUUCGGCAAUGGGGGCAACCCUGACCGAGCAACGCCGCGUGAGUGAAGAAGGUUUUCGGAUCGUAAAGCUCUGUUGUAAGUCAAGAACUAGUGUGAGAGUGGAAAGUUCACACUGUGACGGUAUCUUACCAAAAAGGGACGGCUAACUACGUGCCAGCAGCCGCGGUAAUACGUAGGUCCCGAGCGUUGUCCGGAUUUAUUGGGCGUAAAGGCGAGCGCAGGCGGGUUUGAUAAUUCGGAAGUUAAAGGCUGUGGCUUCAACCCAUAGUUCGCUUUGGAAACUGUCAAACUUGAGGCAGAAAGGGGAGAGUGGAAUUCCAUGUGUAGCGGUGAAAUGCGUAGAUAUAUGGAGGAACACCGGUGGCGAAAGCGGCUCUCUGGUCUGUAACUGACGCUGAGGCUCGAAAGCGUGGGGAGCGAACAGGGUUAGAUACCCAGGUAGUCCACGCCGUAAACGAUGAGUGCUAGGUGUUGGAUCCUUUCCGGGAUUCAGUGCCGCAGCUAACGCAUUAAGCACUCCGCCUGGGGAGUACGACCGCAAGGUUGAAACUCAAAGGAAUUGACGGGGGCCCGCACAAGCGGUGGAGCAUGUGGUUUAAUUCGAAGCAACGCGAAGAACCUUACCAGGUCUUGACAUCCCGAUGCUAUUUCUAGAGAUAGAAAGUUACUUCGGUACAUCGGUGACAGGUGGUGCAUGGUUGUCGUCAGCUCGUGUCGUGAGAUGUUGGGUUAAGUCCCGCAACGAGCGCAACCCCUAUUGUUAGUUGCCAUCAUUCAGUUGGGCACUCUAGCGAGACUGCCGGUAAUAAACCGGAGGAAGGUGGGGAUGACGUCAAAUCAUCAUGCCCCUUAUGACCUGGGCUACACACGUGCUACAAUGGUUGGUACAACGAGUUGCGAGUCGGUGACGGCAAGCUAAUCUCUUAAAGCCAAUCUCAGUUCGGAUUGUAGGCUGCAACUCGCCUACAUGAAGUCGGAAUCGCUAGUAAUCGCGGAUCAGCACGCCGCGGUGAAUACGUUCCCGGGCCU